CCUACGGGAGGCAGCAGUGGGGAAUAUUGGACAAUGGGGGGAACCCUGAUCCAGCGACGCCGCGUGAGUGAAGAAGUAUUUCGGUAUGUAAAGCUCUAUCAGCAGGGAAGAAAAUGACGGUACCUGACUAAGAAGCGCCGGCUAACUACGUGCCAGCAGCCGCGGUAAUACGUAGGGGGCAAGCGUUAUCCGGAUUUACUGGGUGUAAAGGGGGCGUAGACGGUGCAGCAAGUCUGAUGUGAAAGGUCGGGGCCCAACCCCGGGACUGCAGUGGAAACUGUUGAACUGGAGUGCAGGAGAGGUAAGCGGAAUGCCUGGUGUAGCGGUGAAAUGCGUAGAUAUUAGGAGGAACACCAGUGGCGAAGGCGGCUUACUGGACUGUAACUGACGUUGAGGCUCGAAAGCGUGGGGAGCAAACAGGAUUAGAUACCCCGGUAGUC
rnacentral:rRNA from 1 species